rnacentral:rRNA from 1 species
CACGUAAGGGGCAAGCGUUGUCCGGAAUCACUGGGCGUAAAGGGAGCGUAGGUGGUAAGAAAAGUCAGAUGUGAAAGUUUGCGGCUCAACCGUAAAAUUGCAUUUGAAACUUUCUUACUAGAGUAUCGGAGAGGAAAGCGGAAUUCCUGGUGUAGCGGUGAAAUGCGCAGAUAUCAGGAAGAACACCAAUGGCGAAGGCAGCUUUCUGGAAGAUAACUGACACCGAGGCUCGAAAGCAUGGGGAG